GCGGCCGUGGCGGAAUGGUAGACGCGCAAGCUUGAGGUGCUUGUGGGGGAAACCCUGUGGAAGUUCGAGUCUUCUCGGCCGCA
rfam:Acetobacter aceti NBRC 14818 DNA, contig: Abac_014.